rnacentral:rRNA from 1 species
CCUACGGGUGGCAGCAGUGAGGAAUAUUGGUCAAUGGGCGGGAGCCUGAACCAGCCAAGUCGUGUGAAGGAAGAAGGUACUUAGUAUUGUAAACUUCUUUUGUCGGGGAACAAAGGCGGAGACGCGUCUCCGGAUGAGUGUACACGAAGAAAAAGCAUCGGCUAACUCCGUGCCAGCAGCCGCGGUAAUACGGAGGAUGCGAGCGUUAUCCGGAUUUAUUGGGUGUAAAGGGUGCGCAGGCGGGAGAUCAAGUCAGCGGUAAAAUGUCGGGGCUCAACCCCGGACGGGCGUGUGAACUGGUUUUCUAGGGUUGGAGGAGAGUAUGCGGGAUUCGUGGGGUAGGGGUGAAAAGCAGA